rnacentral:misc_RNA from 1 species
UUUCCGUAGGUGAACCUGCGGAAGGAUCAUUAUUGUAUAACCGAGGUGCGAGGGCUGUCGCUGACCCGAAAGGUCGUGCACGCCCGAGUGCCCUCACACACAUCCAUCUCACCCCUAUGUGCACCACCGCGUGGGUCCCCCUUUGGCUUGUUCGGAGGGGGGCUUACGUUUUCACACAAACUUGGUAUGCAGUGUAGAAUGUAUUUUUUGUUUUUGCGAUCACGCAAUCAAUACGACUUUCAACAACGGAUCUCUUGGCUCUCGCAUCGAUGAAGAACGCAGU